rnacentral:rRNA from 1 species
CCUACGGGAUGCACCAGUGGGGAAUAUUGCACAAUGGGCGCAAGCCUGAUGCAGCCAUGCCGCGUGUAUGAAGAAGGCCUUCGGGUUGUAAAGUACUUUCAGCGGGGAGGAAGGUGUUGUGGUUAAUAACCACAGCAAUUGACGUUACCCGCAGAAGAAGCACCGGCUAACUCCGUGCCAGCAGCCGCGGUAAUACGGAGGGUGCAAGCGUUAAUCGGAAUUACUGGGCGUAAAGCGCACGCAGGCGGUUGAUUAAGUUAGAUGUGAAAUCCCCGGGCUUAACCUGGGAAUGGCAUCUAAGACUGGUCAGCUAGAGUCUUGUAGAGGGGGGUAGAAUUCCAUGUGUAGCGGUGAAAUGCGUAGAGAUGUGGAGGAAUACCGGUGGCGAAGGCGGCCCCCUGACAAAGACUGACGCUCAGGUGCGAAAGCGUGGGGAGCAAACAGGAUUAGAUACCCCCGUAGUC